GUGGACAUCAAAUGAAACCGGGUAGCUGGUCAUGGCCAGCAAAGUGGCCCACCAAAUGGGUUGCUCCACAGCCAUUGGACCAUUUUUUUUUUGGUGUUUCCAUCUCCCAACCAACCCCAUAACUACACUUUAAACUUAACCCUAAUCCUCCAUUUGUUUACAAUCAGCCGUUACACCCUUUAUUUUUACUCUAUUCCUACUUCAAAUGACAAACCCCAGCUCCGUCCCAAUACAUACGCACACAAACAUGGACAGAACCUCAUUUCUCCGGCGACGAUGACGGCGGAGGUACGACGGCAAGGCAGCGGCGGCGGAGCUCUGGUGAGACUUUUCACGGUGGUUCAUCGGUGAAACCCCUCUAAGUCGACCCUCCCGAGUCCGAUUCCGGUGUCGGUUUCAUCAUCGGAGCACCGGAAGUGAUGUUUUCUUGUCCGGCCGCCACGAACCAGGAACACGAUGGGGAUUGUUUUUUUGUCAUUGUUCGGUUAAUCGCUAUCGUUCGUUCUCUUGUUUUCCUAACCUUAAGUCCUUACUCGUGCGUUACUUACAAGAAAUCGCAACGCAACCAAUGUUGAUAGUCGCAGUGAAUCAAGAAUCAAGCUAGGGUG